AGUGGCCUGCGACGCAGGUGCCGGAGCGAUGAUUUGUUGAACCAACACUGAGCCAACGGGUGCCUGGUCGUCCUGCCCUUGUGCACGUCCCGUGAUCCGCCGCAGGCGGAAUUCGGGAAAGCCUUAAAGCAGGCGCUGGUUGCCCACCUUUUACAGGUGGUUCAGAAUCUAGCUCCACACGGCGAAGCGGACCGCUC
rnacentral:other from 1 species